UACAGAGGUCUCAAGCGUUGUUCGGAUUCAUUGGGCGUAAAGGGUGCGUAGGCGGCGCGGUAAGUCGGGUGUGAAAUCUCGGAGCUUAACUCCGAAACUGCAUUCGAUACUACCGUGCUUGAGGACUGGAGAGGAGACUGGAAUUUACGGUGUAGCGGUGAAAUGCGUAGAUAUCGUAAGGAAGACCAGUGGCGAAGGCGGGUCUCUAGACAGUUCCUGACGCUGAGGCACGAAGGCCAGGGGAGCAAACGGG
rnacentral:rRNA from 1 species